CUAGAUGACCCGGUUGCGCCAAUGGCGCAAGAAGCAAAUUAGAAAGAAUGUUAGUAGUGAGUAAGUAAAAGAUGUAACUGGAAAUAUAAUACAAUGUGGAUUGUAUUACAUCAUGUAUUAACCACAAAUCAUGAAAUCAAUACCAGAGAACCAAAUAAUGUCACCACCUCUGUACUAACAACCAACAUUUUAGCAUAAGGAGUAUCACAGGAGUGUUUAAUUGCACAUCAAGAGUAUCACAAUUACAACUAAAGAGGCAUUGUCCUCACUGCUGUCCCUGAGCCCUUCACAGAGUUUCAAGCCUCGCAACUUCUUCCUCCAGCUCUGCACAUGACCCUCGGUUACGAACCUCAUCCCUCAACUAUGAUUAUUUCAAGAUGAAAUCAACAUGCUAUUUCUCUCACAUGGAACAUGUUUAGAAUUUAGUCAGUCUCGCUAAUCUUUCAGCUACAAAGGCAGAAAGAAAAAUGGCAUAAUCAAUAACUAAAAAAAAACUGGAACAAUAAUGCUUGUAACAAUAAUGGCUAUAUUUUUAUCAUCAAAUUUCAACAAUAGAUAUCUCUCCUCCUAUAUCCCUCAAAGAGCAAAAAUAACAAAAUGAACUUUGAUGUACACAAACACAUUCAAAUAAGCAAAUCAGAGCAAGGCAAUAUGCAUCAUACCUUCAGGAUGCCAAGCGGUCGAUUAGUAAUGCUAAAAUGAACCCAUCAGCAUACCUCCCACCUAAUUUUAUUGGCCCUAUCUCUUCUUUCUCAAGUCUGCACUCGUUCAACCAGUAAUCCAAUUAGUUAUACAUGCACACAAUAAUCAAUAGUUUCCCUUCUCCCUAUUUCUAAUUUGGAAAAAUCACUAUAUUUUUCCCCUAUUUGUAGUUUACACUGAAAUCUGAAACCAGUGUGUGCAAGUAUGUUUAAACACCCAGCCAAAAAUCUGAGAAAAGCAAAAUAAGAAUUUGAAUGCCCAAGGAAAAUUAAACUUGCUCUCUCUCCCUAUUCUCAGCCAUACAUGCACCAGACAACAUAUAUAUAUAUAUAUAUAUAUAUAUAUAUAGAGAGAGAGAGAGAGAGAGAGCGAGAGACGAUCAAAUAAUUUUAUAGGUCCUCCUUGACUUGGCCGCUUCAAGCUGUGCUAGAAUCCAUGGGAUGGCAGAACACCUUUUUUAGUACAAGCACACUGCAAGCCACCAUCCACCCUUGCUUAUUAAUGAAAUAAAAUAAAGUAUUCCAAGAACAUGGAUCAGUUAUAAAAAGUACCGAUAUCAUGUAUGCAUCGUUCUGAUGCAGAGGCCGGGGAUCUCCCCCUUUUCGAAAAAAAAGUAUAUAAUACAAAAAUAAAUAUUCUUUGGAAGGAUAUAGUCAUAGAUAUAUCAAAUAGACAUAGUAUACGUUCCAAUGAUAAUGUCAUACCUGUAGAAGAGACAUAUCCUCAAGAAACGGUGCUCCAAAUGAAUAUUGCCAUAUUUGUCCAUAGUAAAUAAUCCAUUACAGCAGAAAUCAGAAGCCAACAUCAGUGUGGUUCGCAAUAAGAGGAGGCCAUUCUGUUCAUGCCUAGCAGUAGCACAACAGCGACAUGAAGACAACCUACUUUACAUGGCAAAAGAUCCAAGUAAGAAGAAAAUCUAAUGUCAUAUAUGGAUACACUUGAGUUGUUAUAAAUACUUAGGAAUUCAGGAUGGCAAAUUUAAGCAAGAAAAACACACUGGAGCUGUUAUAUUUACUUAGGAAUUCAGAUUAUUGUGUUUCCUAUAGAGGCCCUAUAACCUGAAUAAACGUAGCUGCACAUAAGAUCAAGUAAAAAAAAGCGUUAGUAAAUUCAUGAAAGGAAGAUGUGAAGAUAAAAGUCAUGACAGAACUGUCCAGAUUUUGUAUCAGCCAGUCAUAUAUACAGGACCAAGAAGACUGCACCCAAAGUUUGAUAUUUCAAUCAGCUUAAUUAAUAAUUAUUUGGCACGCAUCUUUGACACAGCACUGCCUUUAACUGUGUUCUGCGCCACAGAAAACACAAACUAAAAUUGAUAAAGUUGAGACAAAUAAGGGUACAUAUAUUGCAUUAGUAAACAAAUAACAAUAGAAUGUACUUUUAUGUAGAAUUAAAAGUGUGGAGAGAAAAUAAAUAAACCCGAGGGAAAACUAUCUAUUAGUCCUCAUAAAUCAAAACACAACAUCUUCACGCUUUCUCAGUCAACAGUCUACUCAAAUGUAAUUAAUAUAUAGCAGAUCAAUGACAAAAACACGUGCCAAAACAUGCCGACCAAAAUAAAGAGGUAGAAAGCCUAUUUUAAAUCCAUGACUGGUUACAAAGUUGCAUCAACCUACUACAUUAAAUAUAUAAUGGC
rnacentral:lncRNA from 1 species